rnacentral:rRNA from 1 species
UAGGGAAUCUUCCGCAAUGGACGCAAGUCUGACGGAGCAACGCCGCGCGAGUGAAGAAGGAUUUCGGUUCGUAAAACUCUGUUGUUAGAGAAGAACAGCGCAUAGAGUAACUGUUAUGCGUGUGACGGUAUCUAACCAGAAAGCCACGGCUAACUACGUGCCAGCAGCCGCGGUAAUACGUAGGUGGCAAGCGUUGUCCGGAUCUAUUGGGCGUAAAGCGAGCGCAGGCGGUCAAUUAAGUCUGAUGUGAAAGCCCCCGGCUCAACCGGGGAGGGUCAUUGGAAACUGGUUGACUUGAGUGCAGAAGAGGAGAGUGGAAUUCCAUGUGUAGCGGUGAAAUGCGUAAAUAUAUGGAGGAACACCAGUGGCGAAGGCGACUCUCUGGUCUGUAACUGACGCUGAGGCUCGAAAGCGUGGGUAGCAAACAGG